AUUGAACGCUGGCGGCGUGCUUAACACAUGCAAGUCGUGCGAGAAAGGGGACUUCGGUCCCUGAGUAGAGCGGCGCACGGGUGAGUAACGCGUGGAUUAUCUACCCAGACGUUCGGGAUAACGGCGGGAAACUGCCGCUAAUACCGGAUACGCUCCAAUUUCGGUUGGGGGAAAGGCGGCCUCUGCUUGCAAGCUGUCGCAUCUGGAUGAGUCCGCGUCCCAUUAGCUUGUUGGUGGGGUAAUGGCCUACCAAGGCUACGAUGGGUAGCUGGUCUGAGAGGAUGAUCAGCCACACUGGAACUGAAACACGGUCCAGACUCCUACGGGAGGCAGCAGUGGGGAAUAUUGCGCAAUGGGGGAAACCCUGACGCAGCGACGCCGUGUGAGGGAAGAAGGCUUU
rnacentral:rRNA from 1 species